UACAGAGGUCCCAAGCGUUGUUCGGAUUCACUGGGCGUAAAGGGUGCGUAGGUGGUGAGGUAAGUCUGAUGUGAAAUCCCGCAGCUCAACUACGGAACUGCAUCGGAUACUAUCUUGCUAGAGGGUUUGAGGGGGGACUGGAAUUCUCGGUGUAGCAGUGAAAUGCGUAGAUAUCGAGAGGAACACCAGUGGCGAAGGCGAGUCCCUGGAAAACUCCUGACACUGAGGCACGAAAGCUAGGGGAGCAAACAGG
rnacentral:rRNA from 1 species